CACAGGACUUACAAGCUAACUGGAUAAGCCAGAGAGCAAGAGGGAGAAGAGCAAUUACCGGCAGCCCUGAAUGGAGCAGAUCCAAGAUUGCAACCAGGCUCUGCUGCCAAUCUGUUUGGUCACACACUCUUGCCAGGUUCCACUCCCUCUCCUACUUAAGAUACACCCACACAAAGUGUUCAUCUGGUACCCAGCACAGCUGAGAGGGUGGAAAACUUUGGCAGGAUGCAUAGGAAUGGAUGGACAAACCUUUCAAAUGGCAAAAGAAAAGAUAACACCUGGCAAUACCAUAACUGAAAGAAAAUAAGGGAUUUCCCAGUGCUCAAACACAGCCUGCCUUCAGACAACAGUUUUCACAAGGGCUUUCAGAAGAGGUUGUGCAAUCUCCUUGGGGCUUUUCAAGACUCAGUCAAAGACACAAGUGUCCUGGUCUCAGUUCAGCACCGAGCCCACUAUGGCCAGCAUGAUUCACUUCUUCAGAUCAUAUGUAGACAAUGUAUAUGUGGAUAAUUUCAGUAUUUCCUUCCUACCAGUCAAUCUCACCAGUAGGACCCUAUUCUAAUACUGUCUUGAUGACUAAAGAUUA
rnacentral:lncRNA from 1 species